UAAAAGCAGUUAUUAAGUUUUUUUCUUUAAAGCUUUUGAACUUAAUAACACUUUAAGUUAACCUUAGUAAACAUCAUUAUGUUUACCUUUCAAAGAUCAAAGAACAAUUAUUAAAAUCUUUUUGAUCAGAUAACUAAUAAACUAACUAACUAAAUCAUUGAUGCAUAAUUAACUGCAUUAAUGAUUUUUUUUUAUUAUUUUUACCGCAAAAAAUGCAGAUUUAUCUGUUAAACUAAUGAUUUAAAAAGGCUUUUUUUUAUUAUCAAUCAUUGGUUAUUUUUUACUUGUGAUUUUAGCUUUAAUGUUUAUAAAAAAAUCCAAUGACAAAAGUUUUUUUAGAAAAGGGUUGUGCAAACUGAUUUGUUGUGCUAUAAUCUAUAAGGGUUAUAUA
rnacentral:misc_RNA from 1 species